UCGAUUUGAAGGUUGUAAUCUUUGAAUUAUGGCUUUCGGAGCUAACGUGUUAAAUCGACCGCCUGGGGAGUACGGCCGCAAGGUUAAAACUCAAAUGAAUUGACGGGGGCCCGCACAAGCGGUGGAGCAUGUGGUUUAAUUCGAUGCAACGCGAAAAACCUUACCUACCCUUGACAUCUAAAGAACUGUGUAGAGAUAUACGGGUGCCUUCGGGAACUUUAAGACAGGUGCUGCAUGGCUGUCGUCAGCUCGUGUUGUGAAAUGUUGGGUUAAGUCCCGCAACGAGCGCAACCCUUGUCCUUUGUUGCCAGCGAAUAAAGUCGGGAACUCAAAGGAGACUGCCGGUGAUAAGCCGGAGGAAGGUGGGGAUGACGUCAAGUCAUCAUGGCCCUUAUGGGUAGGGCUACAAACGUGCUACAAUGGCGUAUACAAAGGGAAGCAAGCUGUUGAGAGUUAGCAAAUCUCGAAAAAUUCGUCGUAGUCCGGAUUGGAGUCUGCAACUCGACUCCAUGAAGUCGGAAUCGCUAGUAAUCGUGAAUCAGAAUGUCACGGUGAAUACGUUCCCGGGCC
rnacentral:rRNA from 1 species